rnacentral:rRNA from 1 species
AGAGUUUGAUCCUGGCUCAGAAUCAACGCUGGCGGCGUGCCUAACACAUGCAAGUCGAGCGAGAAAAGGGGGGCAACUCCCUGAGUACAGCGGCGCACGGGUGAGUAACACGUGGGUAAUCUGCCCUGGAGUGGGGAAUAACACCGGGAAACCGGUGCUAAUACCGCAUACGAUCACGAUGUCUGCGGACGUUGUGAUGAAAGGAGCAAUUCGCUCCAGGAGGAGCCCGCGGCUGAUUAGCUAGUUGGUGAGGUAACGGCUCACCAAGGCGACGAUCAGUAUCCGGUCUGAGAGGACGGUCGGACACACUGGAACUGAGACACGGUCCAGACUCCUACGGGAGGCAGCAGUGGGGAAUUUUUGGCAAUGGGGGAAACCCUGACCAAGCAACGCCGCGUGGGUGAUGAAGUCCCUUGGGACGUAAAACCCUUUCGACGGGGAAGAAACCGCAAGGUUGACGGUACCCGUAGAAGAAGCCCCGGCUAACUCCGUGCCAGCAGCCGCGGUAAUACGGGGGGGGCAAGCGUUGUUCGGAAUUACUGGGCGUAAAGGGUGCGUAGGCGGUGUUCUAAGUCGGAUGUGAAAACUCUGGGCUCAACCCAGAGCCUGCAUCUGAAACUGGAGUGCUAGAGUUCUGGAGGGGGUAGCGGAAUUCCUGGUGUAGCGGUGAAAUGCGUAGAUAUCUGCAGGAACACCCGUGGCGAAACGGCGCGCUGGAUCACUACUGACGCUGAGGAACGAAAGCUAGGGGAGCAAACAGGAUUAGAUACCCUAGUAGUCC